rnacentral:tRNA from 1 species
GUUAAUAAGCUUUAGAAAGCAUAUAUUUUGAAAAUAUAAGAAAAAGGUUUAAUUCCUUUAUUAGCUU